rnacentral:tRNA from 2 species
GAGUAUGAUUUUGGUAUUUUGCAAAAAUACUUUAGGUGAUUAUUUGGUCAUCCAUGCUUU